CAGCCAGGAUACAGAGUGAUACCGUGUGUAAUACAAGGAAAUCAUCUCAAAAGGCACUGCGUACACUAUUUGUCAGUGGCAUUCCACAGAAAAACAACAGGAGGGGUGCUCUUCUUUCUCAUUUUCAAAAGUUUGGGGAGGUUAUAGACAUUUAUAUCCCAUUAAAUAGCGAGCGAGCUUUUGUUCAGUUUUCAAAAAGGGAAGAUGCAGAAGCUGCUCUAAGAGCACCUGAUGCUGUGAUGGGCAAUCGCUUUAUUAAACUAUGGUGGGCUAAUCGCGACAGCAUACCUGAUGAUGGCAUAAGCAGUAGCAGUGGUGUAUCUGUAACUCCCCGUGGUGUGCCAGCUGGUUCAGUUCCACCCCAACCUUCAAUUGGUAAUAGAGGAAAAGAUAAUCUUCAGUCUGCUGUUCCUAAGGGUACUAUGGUCGCUCCCUCUGAUGUGUCUAUUCCUCCCACUGAUCAUCCUAAGC
rnacentral:misc_RNA from 1 species